rnacentral:rRNA from 1 species
UCGGCUGCCACUUACAGAUGGGCCCGCGGCGCAUUAGCUAGUUGCGGGGUAACGGCCCACCAAGGCCGAGAUGCGUAGCCGACCUGAGAGGGUGAUCGGCCACACUCCGACUGAGACACGGCCCAGACUCCUACGGGAGGCAGCAGUAGGGAAUCUUCCGCAAUGGACGAAAGUCUGACGGAGCAACGCCGCGUGAGUGAUGAAGGUUUUCGGAUCGUAAAGCUCUGUUGUUAGGGAAGAACAAGUACCGUUCG